CCUACGGGAGGCAGCAGUGGGGAAUAUUGCACAAUGGGGGAAACCCUGAUGCAGCGACGCCGCGGGAGUGAAGAAGUAUUUCGGUAUGUAAAGCUCUAUCAGCAGGGAAGAAAAGGACGGUACCUGAGUAAGAAGCCCCGGCUAACGACGGGCCAGCAGACGCGGUAAUACGUAGGGGGCAAGCGUUACCCGGAUUUACUGGGUGUAAAGGGAGCGUAGACGGCAGCACCAGGCUGGAGGGAAAUGCCGGGGCUUACCCCCGGAACUGCUUUGGAAACUGUGCAGCUAGAGUGCAGGAGCGGUCAGUGGACUUCCUCGUGUAGCUGUUACAUGCGUCGCUAUU
rnacentral:rRNA from 1 species